AACGAACGCUGGCGGCAGGCUUAACACAUGCAAGUCGAACGCGUGUAGCAAUACACGAGUGGCGCACGGGUGAGUAACGCGUGGAUAUCUGCCUUUUGGUUCGGAAUAACCCCGGGAAACUGGGGCUAAUACCGGAUGGUUCCUUCGGGAUAAAGAUUUAUCGCCAAAAGAUGAGUCCGCGUACGAUUAGCUAGUUGGUGAGGUAAUGGCUCACCAAGGCGACGAUCGUUAGCUGGUCUGAGGGGACGAUCAGCCACACUGGACUGAGACACGGCCCAGACUCCUACGGGAGGCAGCAGUGGGGAAUAUUGGACAAUGGGGGCAACCCUGAUCCAGCCAUGCCGCGUGAGUGAUGAAGGCCUUCGGGUUGUAAAGCUCUUUUGGCGGGGACGAUGAUGACGGUACCCGCAGAAUAAGCCCCGGCUAACUUCGUGCCAGCAGCCGCCGUAACAC
rnacentral:rRNA from 1 species